GACGAACGCUGGCGGCGUGCUUAACAAAUGCAAGUCGAACGAAGUGGCGAACGGGUGAGUAACGCGUAAUCAACCUGCCCUUCAGAGGGGGACCACAGUUGGAAACGACUGCUAAUACCGCAUACUGAAGUAGGGGAUUGCGUCUGAUUAGCUAGUUGGAGGGGUAACGGCCCACCAAGUCGAUGAUAAGUAGACGGUCUGAGAUGAUGAACGGCCACAUUGGGACUGAGACACGGACCAGACUCCUACGGGAGGCAGCAGUGGGGAAUCUGCCGCAAUGGACGAAAGUCUGACGGAGCAACGCCGCGGGAGUGAUGACGGCCUUCGGGUUGUAAAGCUCUGUUAAGCGGGACGCGGUACCGGAAUAGAAAGCCACGGCUAACUACGUGCCAGCCGCCGCGGUAAUAC
rnacentral:rRNA from 1 species